GACGAACCGUGCAAACGUUAUUCGGAAUCACUGGGCUUAAAGGGCGCGUAGGCGGGCCGCCAGGUCCGGGGUGAAAGCCUCCAGCUUAACUGGAGAAGUGCCUUGGAUACCGGCGGCCUCGAGGGAGGCAGGGGCGUGCGGAACUUCGGGUGGAGCGGUGAAAUGCGUAGAUAUCCGAAGGAACACCGGUGGCGAAAGCGGCGCGCUGGACCUCUUCUGACGCUGAGGAGCGAAAGCGUGGGGAGCGAACAGG
rnacentral:rRNA from 1 species